AGGUACUGCGAUGGAGCAUUUUCUUUAGACUAAGGAGAUAAUCUUAUGGCUGGAGCCAUGGAAUAUAGAUGUUAAUAAAAAUGAAGACCUUUAUCUUGAUCUGUGACCAAGUUUCAGAUUGUUCGGAUUCAUGUCCGCAUCAAGGAUCCUGCCUCUUUCCUCUGAAAGAAUGAAGAUGGAAAGGGAGCACUGUGCAUUUGCAUGCUUGGAUGCAUGCAUCUGUUUGGUGAGAAGCAGCAGCAAUUAGUAUAUGUUGCUAAGGAGAUCUGAGAUGUAUGUUGUACGGUAGUGGUUUUGUUUGAGGGAGCGCUUAUUUCUGUUUGGUUUUAUGAGUUUACUAAUAAUUCUAGCUGCAGCUGUAAUAUGAGAUUUCUUUGGGUGAAGAAAUAUAGGAAACUAGCAAGAGCUUUAUGAUAAGAACCUUAUCAAAUUUAUUAGUGCAUGCACUAUACUGAAGACUCCAGUAAGCAAAACUAAAAUUUCUA